rnacentral:tRNA from 1 species
GGGCGGUUAGCUCAGACUGGUUAGAGCGCUGCGUUGACAUCGCAGAGGUCAUUGGUUCAAAUCCAAUACCACCCACCA